ACCACAGCCAUAUCACCAUGCAGCCCAAGACUGGUUGCCCACUGAAGCUAAGCAGGGUUGAGCCUGGUUAGCACCUGGAUGGGAGACCUCCUGGGAAAUCUAGGUUGCUGCUGGAA
rnacentral:rRNA from 1 species